UACGUAGGGUGCAAGCGUUGUCCGGAAUUAUUGGGCGUAAAGAGCUCGUAGGCGGUUUGUCGCGUCUGCCGUGAAAGUCCGGGGCUCAACUCCGGAUCUGCGGUGGGUACGGGCAGACUAGAGUGAUGUAGGGGAGACUGGAAUUCCUGGUGUAGCGGUGAAAUGCGCAGAUAUCAGGAGGAACACCGAUGGCGAAGGCAGGUCUCUGGGCAUUAACUGACGCUGAGGAGCGAAAGCUGGGGGAGCAAACAGG
rnacentral:rRNA from 1 species